UAAAUUUUUAAAUAGUACUUAAAUCAGAGAACAACAAAGUAAAUAAGGAAAAAAGGAAAAGAAGAAGGCUCAGAUCUGCCAUUGAAAAAUAAGAUAUUGCAGAAAUCACCCCAUCGACUAUUCGAUGGUUUAUCCGACUACAGUCUAGAGGUUGGAUGUCUUGGAUGCCAGCUGGGACCCAAGGUCCGAGCGUGCAAGGCACGUCCCGAUUCCAUGCUUGCAAUGUUGCCUAACACCUUCCCUCG
rnacentral:lncRNA from 1 species